UUUUUAUGUCGAGCUUGCGACAUUAAACAAAGCGCUUAGUGGGAGACAACCCACAAAUAUUUUAUUUUUUUCUAUUAUUAUUUUCUAUUUCUUCCUUAAUUAUUCUUUUAAUUUUUGUUUAGUAUUCAUUCUUAAUUUAUUUUUAUUUAUUAAAAACUUUUCUCUUCUUCUUUCGGCAUUUGGCCAAAUCCUGACUAAAAC
rnacentral:lncRNA from 1 species